AUUGAACGCUGGCGGCAUGCCUUACACAUGCAAGUCGAACGGUAACAGGUCUUCGGAUGCUGACGAGUGGCGAACGGGUGAGUAAUACAUCGGAACGUGCCUAGUAGUGGGGGAUAACUACUCGAAAGAGUGGCUAAUACCGCAUGAGAUCUACGGAUGAAAGCAGGGGAUCGCAAGACCUUGUGCUACUAGAGCGGCCGAUGGCAGAUUAGGUAGUUGGUGGGAUAAAAGCUUACCAAGCCGACGAUCUGUAGCUGGUCUGAGAGGACGAUCAGCCACAAUGGGACGGAGACACGGCCCAGACUCCUACGGGAGGCAGCAGUGGGGAAUUUUGGACAAUGGGCGCAAGCCUGAUCCAGCAAUGCCGCGUGCAGGAUGAAGGCCUUCGGGUUGUAAACUGCUUUUGUACGGAACGAAAAGCCCUGGGUUAGUACCCUGGGGUCAUGACGGUACCGUAAGAAUAAGCACCGGCUAACUACGUGCCAGCCGCCGCCGUAAAAC
rnacentral:rRNA from 1 species